rnacentral:rRNA from 1 species
GGCGAGUGGCGAACGGGUGAGUAAUACAUCGGAACGUGUCCUGGAGUGGGGGAUAGCCCGGCGAAAGCCGGAUUAAUACCGCAUACGCUCUGUGGAGGAAAGCGGGGGAUCUUUCGGGACCUCGCGCUCAAGGGGCGGCCGAUGGCAGAUUAGGUAGUUGGUGGGGUAAAGGCCUACCAAGCCGACGAUCUGUAGCUGGUCUGAGAGGACGACCAGCCACACUGGGACUGAGACACGGCCCAGACUCCUACGGGAGGCAGCAGUGGGGAAUUUUGGACAAUGGGCGCAAGCCUGAUCCAGCAAUGCCGCGUGUGUGAAGAAGGCCUUCGGGUUGUAAAGCACUUUUGUCCGGAAAGAAAACCUCUGGGUUAAUACCCCGGGGGGAUGACGGUACCGGAAGAAUAAGCACCGGCUAACUACGUGCCAGCAGCCGCGGUAAUACGUAGGGUGCGAGCGUUAAUCGGAAUUACUGGGCGUAAAGCGUGCGCAGGCGGUGAUGUAAGACCGAUGUGAAAUCCCCGGGCUUAACCUGGGAACUGCAUUGGUGACUGCAUCGCUCGAGUAUGGCAGAGGGGGGUAGAAUCCACGUGUAGCAGUGAAAUGCGUAGAGAUGUGGAGGAAUACCGAUGGCG